rnacentral:rRNA from 1 species
GACGAACGCUGGCGGCGCGCCUAACACAUGCAAGUCGAACGAGCGAGAGAGAGUUUGCUUUCUCGAGCGAGUGGCGAACGGGUGAGUAACGCGUGAGGAACCUGCCUCAAAGAGGGGGACAACAGUUGGAAACGACUGCUAAUACCGCAUAAUGUCAUUCGGAGGCAUCUCUGAGUGACCAAAGAUUUAUUGCUGAAAGAUGACCUCGCGUCUGAUUAGCUGGUUGGUGAGGUAAUGGCUCACCAAGGCGACGAUCAGUAGCCGGACUGAGAGGUUGAACGGCCACAUUGGGACUGAGAUACGGCCCAG